GUUCGUUUAGUGAGUAGUGCAAAGUGUAAGUUGCUCCUGCAAAAUCAGAAGAAAUCAACUGAAAAUCGUGCAGACAAUAUCCAGAAAUGGUUUAUCUUGUACUUCCGGGACACAUAGUAUAGCAGACAAAUCUGUAGAAAGCUCACCGGAAUGACGAGUCGUGAUGCUGUUCCUUCGUGAAGAGCAGCAGAGGCCGAAGAUUUCAGAUUACAACGAUUUUUCUGGCGCGAAUGGAGAUCGAGAUGACGGGAUGGCUAAGGAGUCGGGCGUCUGACGAUCUUCGUGGGAGGCUGCACAGCUAGAACAAACAUCCAUACACAAGAAUAACAUCUUUCGCUAAUCACAACACUUGGAGCACCCUGUACACAGACGAGAAGGCGACGAUAGAAAAACAUCGUCGUCGCUCGUUGAAGUCUCUUGGAAAAAUGACGUAGCCCUUUGCUGGUUAAUGAAGUGGUUUCACGUAGAUUGCUGCAUCCGGUUUGAUUCGAUAAAAAAAUACAAUUGGAAACCUUGCGAUCUUGAUGGCACUUCCACAUUCGUUGAUUAAAUACAUUCACGGUGCGUUAAAAUAUAUGGUGAACGACUUACGUAAGUACCUCUAAAUAAGUGUUACAGUCGCUAAUUAGAAUUAAUAGUGAUUAAUUUACAAGAGAAAGAUGCUUAACCCUGGAACGACAGUUGAUUUUCUUUAUUUCAUUCUCCAAAUUUUUGACUAUUUUCUUAGACAUUAUUUUUAUUAAUACAAACAAAGUCUUUAGUACCCAAUUUUAAUAGCAUAUAGUAGAUUUACUAGCUUCGACGUUCGAGAGUUAAAAUUAUAACAAAUUAUCAUUUCAUACUUUUUUUUUUGAAAAUAAAUUCGAGUCGUUCAGAAAAUUCUUAGAAAACUAUAAGAACUACUAUUCUAUCGGUACAACAAAAUUCUUUUACGAAAAUAUAAUAGGCUAUUAUUAUUGCAAAUCAAGUGAUAGAAUUAUACAGGAAUUCUUGAAAAUUUAAGAAUAGUUGCUUAUAGAAAAAUUUUAUUCAAUGAAGUAUCCUUAAAUUUUGGAACACCCUGUAUCUUCAUUACCACAUUUAUCGGUUUAUAUAUAUUUACAAUAUUUUGUUGUGUAGAAUUUGAUCAAGUUAAUCGAAAUAAUUAAAUAAUCACUCGUUUUAGCAAUUCUAAUAAAAUUUCAUCGAAAAUCGGGUUGUAUUCAGGUCGAAAUUCAUUGAUUUUUAAUUUGGAACUUCAUCAGAUUGUUAUCAAUUAAUUGAAUAAUUGAUAGAGUGAUUCCUUAAUUAUUCAAAAUUUUGCAUUGUUGCAUUUGGCUGUUCGCAAACGACAGAUUCUACCUUUUCUGUAUAGGACGUCGAAAAAUAGACAGUAAAUUUCAUUAGAACAUGAAAAGUAAUAUUAGUUUAUUUAUGAAAAUACUGUCUUUACAUGGUGCUUCUAAUUGUAAGAAAAAUUCUAAAUCUUAAACUAUUAUGUGCAUAGUAAUACACAGGGUAAGUUAUGAAAUUUAAUUUCCUUAAUUAUCUCUAUUAUUCCGAAAAAUAUGAAAAAGGUUUACGAGUACAAAAUAAU